AUGAACGCUGGCGGCAUGCCUAACACAUGCAAGUCGAACGAAGCCUUCGGGCUUAGUGGCGCACGGGUGCGUAACGCGUGGGGAUCUGCCCCUUGGUUCGGAAUAACAGUUAGAAAUGACUGCUAAUACCGGAUAACGACGUAAGUCCAAAGAUUUAUCGCCGAGGGAUGAGCCCGCGUAGGAUUAGCUAGUUGGUGUGGUAAAAGCGCACCAAGGCGACGAUCCUUAGCUGGUCUGAGAGGAUGAUCAGCCACACUGGGACUGAGACACGGCCCAGACUCCUACGGGAGGCAGCAGUGGGGAACAUUGGACAAUGGGCGAAAGCCUGAUCCAGCAAUGCCGCGUGAGUGAUGAAGGCCUUAGGGUUGUAAAGCUCUUUUACCCGGGAUGAUAAUGACAGUACCGGGAGAAUAAGCCCCGGCUAACUCCGU
rnacentral:rRNA from 1 species